AGCUCCAAGAGCGUAUAUUAAAGUUGUUGCAGUUAAAAAGCUCGUAGUUGAAUUUUGGAAUCCCUUUCUCGGUCCGCUUUUUGCGAGUACUGAACAAAGGGUUUCCCACCGCUCGGCCUCCUUCGGGUGGCUGCGCGGGAUUACUUUGAGUAAAUGAGAGUGUUCAAAGCAGGCGUACGCUUGAAUCUGUUAGCAUGGAAUAAUAAAAUAAGACGAUUGUCCUAUUUUGUUGGUUUCUAGGACCAUCGUAAUGAUUAAUAGGGACGGUCGGGGGCAUCAGUAUUCAGUUGUCAGAGGUGAAAUUCUUAGAUUUACUGAAGACUAACUACUGCGAAAGCAUUUGCCAAGGACGUUUUCA
rnacentral:rRNA from 1 species